rnacentral:rRNA from 1 species
AGUGAACGCUGGCGGUAGGCCUAACACAUGCAAGUCCAACGGCAGCACAGUAAGAGCUUGCUCUUACGGGUGGCGAGUGGCGGACGGGUGAGGAAUACAUCGGAAUCUACUUUUUCGUGGGGGAUAACGUAGGGAAACUUACGCUAAUACCGCAUACGACCUACGGGUGAAAGCAGGGGAUCUUCGGACCUUGCGCAAUUGAAUGAGCCGAUGUCGGAUUAGCUAGUUGGCGGGGUAAAGGCCCACCAAGGCGACGAUCCGUAGCUGGUCUGAGAGGAUGAUCAGCCACACUGGAACUGAGACACGGUCCAGACUCCUACGGGAGGCAGCAGUGGGGAAUAUUGGACAAUGGGCGCAAGCCUGAUCCAGCCAUACCGCGUGGGUGAAGAAGGCCUUCGGGUUGUAAAGCCCUUUUGUUGGGAAAGAAAAGCAGCAGGUUAAUACCCCGCUGUUCUGACGGUACCCAAAGAAUAAGCACCGGCUAACUUCGUG